UGUUUACUAACCAAGGGCCAUAUGUUAGAAAACUGUAUAUUCGGUUAAAUAUGCUACCCUCGAUAAACAAAGAUUAUAAAAGCUUCUUCACAUAAUCACUGCGAAGAACAUCCGGGUACUACCUGUACGUGGUUUGGUCACGUGUGUCUCAGGGUGGAGCUCUAUGGAUGCAUUGCAGAUGCACUAGGCCCCUUGGGCAUGACAAGUUAUGAGAUUCCUGCCAGCGACAUCAAAGUCUCUUCCUACUUGAGAGAUCAUUGUGUGCCGAGCGAUGGCCGCCUUCACGGCAAUUAUCAAAACUAUCAAGCUUGGGUAGCCAAUGGCCAGGUUUCUGUUGAUCUUCAAUUCCUUCAAGUGGAUUUUGGGAGGAACCGUUAUGUUACUGCUAUCGCCACACAAGAACGAUUUCAGAAUAAUCAGUAUGUGACGUCAUACGCUGUGUCGUACAGCACUACAUGUACCACGUGGUCCACCAUCAAGGAAGAAUCGGGGGCAGACAAGAUAUUUCCUGGAAAUGCAGCAAGCGACGAGUCAGUUGUCACUAACAUGUUACCAGAGAUUGUACGAGCCCGCUGUGUUCGUAUAAAUCCGAAACAUUUGCACAACACCUGUCGAUGAGAGCAGAGAUAUACACAUUCGUCAUACAGACUCUGGACCAAUGCAGUAAUUACGUCAAUCUUAACGACGACUCCCGUCUUUCCUCGCGCGUGACGUCGUCCGUCUAUAACGAUAACGCCAACCUAAACGAAUCAAACUGGUAUCUUUUUACCGGUAAAACUGGCUACUACCGGCUUCCUAACAAGGUGGUGUCCAGAGGUCGGUGCGGUGCCACGGCGCAUUGCUGGAUGAACGGGACCCACCCAACCGUACAGGAGGGCGUGGUCAAGAGAUCGGUCUGUUUCCAUGGCAACUCCGGGGUGUGUCAGUUUAGCGUGCCUGUCUAUGUGCGUAACUGUUUUAGUUUCUUUGUUUACAAGCUAAAGAAGCUGGUUGAGUCUUGGGAUGCAAGAUACUGUGCGGACGGUAACUAGGUGAAGGUGGGUUUGUGUAUCUGCCUUGACUUUCCUGUUAUCUUUAAACCUAGACCUGCCCCUUGUCUGAAUGACAAUGGAUAAGGCAACGUACAGCGAAUUAAGUGUAUUUAUUUGUGAGACCUUUUUACGCAGAAGCCUGUUUUUUUUUUAAUAAACGUGUUUCCACUGGU